rnacentral:rRNA from 1 species
GAGANGGGUAGCCGGCCUGAGAGGGCGACCGGCCACACUGGGCCUGAGGCACGGCCCAGACUCCUACGGGAGGCAGCAGUGGGGAAUAUUGCACAAUGGGCGAAAGCCUGAUGCAGCGACGCCGCGUGAGGGAUGACGGCCUUCGGGUUGUAAACCUCUUUCAGCAGGGACGAAGCGCAAGUGACUGUACCUGCAGAAGAAGCACCGGCUAACUACGUGCCAGCAGCCGCGGUAAUACGUAGGGUGCGAGCGUUGUCCGGAAUUAUUGGGCGUAAAGAGCUUGUAGGUGGCUCGUUGCGUCGGGAGUGAAAACCCGCGGCUUAACCGCGGGCCUGCUUCCGAUACGGGCGAGCUAGAGUUCGGCAGGGGAGACUGGAAUUCCUGGUGUAGCGGUGGAAUGCGCAGAUAUCAGGAGGAACACCGGUGGCGAAGGCGGGUCUCUGGGCCGAUACUGACACUGAGAAGCGAAAGCGUGGGGAGCGAACAGGAUUAGAUACCCUGGUAGUCCACGCCGUAAACGUUGGGAACUAGGUGUGGGGUCCAUUCCACGGGCUCUGUGCCGCAGCUAACGCAUUAAGUUCCCCGCG